GUGCUUACUUCAGCAGCACAUAUACUAAAAUUGGAACCGUAUGAGGAUUAGCAUGCCCCUGGGCAAGAAGGACAUGUAAAUUCAUGAAGUAUUCAUGUUUUUU